CAAUAGCGUAUAUUAAAGUUGUUGCGGUUAAAAAGCUCGUAGUUGGAUUUCUGCUGAGAACGACCGGUCCGCCCUCUGGGUGUGUAUCUGGCUCUUUCUUGGCAUCUUCUUGGUGAACGUUGCUGCACUUGACUGUGUGGAGCGCUACCCAGGACUUUUACUUUGAGGAAAUUAGAGUGUUUCAAGCAGGCAUACGCCUUGAAUACAUUAGCAUGGAAUAAUAAGAUAGGACCUCGGUUCUAUUUUGUUGGUUUCUAGAGCUGAGGUAAUGAUUAAUAGGGAUAGUUGGGGGCAUUAGUAUUUAAUUGUCAGAGGUGAAAUUCUUGGAUUUAUUAAAGACUAACUAAUGCGAAAGCAUUUGCCAAGGAUGUUUUCAUUAA
rnacentral:rRNA from 1 species